GACGAACGCUGGCGGCGUGCUUAACACAUGCAAGUCGAACGGAAAGGCCCUGCUUUUGUGGGGUGCUCGAGUGGCGAACGGGUGAGUAACACGUGAGUAACCUGCCCUUGACUUUGGGAUAACUUCAGGAAACUGGGGCUAAUACCGGAUAGGAGCUCCUGCUGCAUGGUGGGGGUUGGAAAGUUUCGGCGGUUGGGGAUGGACUCGCGGCUUAUCAGCUUGUUGGUGGGGUAGUGGCUUACCAAGGCUUUGACGGGUAGCCGGCCUGAGAGGGUGACCGGCCACAUUGGGACUGAGAUACGGCCCAGACUCCUACGGGAGGCAGCAGUGGGGAAUAUUGCACAAUGGGCGGAAGCCUGAUGCAGCAACGCCGGGUGCGGGAUGACGGCCUUCGGGUUGGAAACCGCUUUCGCCUGUGACGAAGCGGGAGUGACGGUAAUGGGUAAAGAAGCACCGGCUAACUACGUG
rnacentral:rRNA from 1 species